rnacentral:rRNA from 1 species
UACGUAGGGGGCGAGCGUUGCUCGGAAUUACUGGGCGUAAAGGGAGUGCAGGCGGCCGGUUAAGUCGAAGAUGAAAUCCCGAGGCUCAACUUCGGAACGGUCUUCGAUACUGAUCGGCUUGAGGCUAAUUGAGGAGAGCGGAAUUCCCGGUGGAGCGGUGAAAUGCGUAGAUAUCGGGAGGAACACCAGAGGCGAAGGCGGCUCUCUAAACUAGUCCUGACGCUGAGACUCGAAAGCUAGGGGAGCAAACGGGAUUAGAAACCCUAGUAGUCC